AUUAGGAAAAGUCACAGGCAGCUCACAGGCACUAAACAAAAGUUAAUGGAAGCCCACAACCUCUCUGUGACUUUUACUAAAAAUAAUGGAGAGGGUUUGACUGGGGGUGGGGAGGGGAGAGAUGACUGAAGCCCCAGGGGCAGAGAGGAAUGAAGGACCAAGCCCUGCUGUGCAGUGGGGUGGGGGUGGGGGAGCGGGGGAAGAGUCCAGGACCCACUGCUGCUGCGGUGGUUGUGCUCUGGGGCGCCCUCACGGUGCAUCAGGGCUCUGGGGCUGGUGUCUGGGAGCUGUGGACACCUUCCCACCCCCGCCAGCUGCAGCCCCUAAACCUCAGGGCUGAAGUCAACAAUGUCAUGGAAGUCUCGGAAAGUCAUGGAAUCCAUGACUUCUGUGACAAUCUUAUCCUUAAUGAUGAGUUUACAGCUGCAGUCAGUUAUCUACAGGUGCUAAUUUACCACACAUCAGUUACAACACAGAAUUGUAUUAAAAAUGCAAUUCAGUAUUUGAAAAUACAAAAAAGUCCAAG